rnacentral:RNase_P_RNA from 1 species
GCAUAUAGGUCAAGUCUGCCGGGAGCCGAACCUCCCGGGUGAGGAAAGUCCGGGCACCAUAGGGCAGGGUGCCAGCUAACGGCUGGGCGGGGUAACCCGACGGAAAGUGCCACAGAGAAAAGACCGCCAGCGGCCAGGCCAAGGCCUGGUGCGGGCAAGGGUGAAACGGUGGGGUAAGAGCCCACCGCGCCUCCUGGAAACAGGGGCGGCACGGCAAACCCCACCCGGUGCAAGGCCCAGUAGAGGGGAAGGGCUUGCUGUCAUGCGUCACGCUUUAAGGUCAAUUUCCGUCACUUUCUAGGUCAAUUUGACCAAGUGCAAUCAUGUUCUCAGUCAGUAAGUUGAGCGUUUAUGCAACG